AAUAGGUCCAGCCCUAUCUCUUUUCAGAGGCGGUCACCCCUCUGCUGAGGUCCGAGAGUACUGAUUUCAUGGCCUGAUUCUCAGAGAGGUUUCACAGAGGUGGACUGUGAGCCUCAGAGGCAUUCGAGAUGCCUGUGGUUUGAGCUGGCCAGAGGCCUGGCUGGGAGCCAGGAGGCCCAGGUGUCCUGGAUGUCCUCCGGUCAAGCCCUGGGCCCGGGCCAGCCCUCUCUUCCAGGAAACACUUGGCCAGGACCCAGGAAGAACCCGCCGGCAUCCCUUCCGGGUACGUGGGCCAUCCACCUGCGGGCCCAGGCCAGGCCUCCUGUGAGGCCAGCACCCUGUGCCGCCCAGACUCCCUUCCUGUCUUUGACAGGGAAAUGCAGAGCUUUUCUGCACCCAGCCCACCACCACACAGACUUCGCCGGGGACAAGAGAGGACUGUGCGGCACAGAGGUGUCUCGGGACCUCAGCGUCCCCAUCGGAUGCUGGUAGAAGACUGUAACCACCUCCGAGGGGUGUCGUGAGGAUUAAAGACGUGGGCACAGGAGAGGCACGUGGCACAGCGUUGGACACGUGGUGAGUGCCGUGUACUCCGGCCCUUCUUUCUUUUGCAAGGUGUUUCCUCAGUCACUGUCAUGGCAGAUGGUGCCCAUGGGGGCAGAGGCCCAGGAAGAGGUGUCUCACCUGAGGACACUGUGGGAGCCGUGGCCGCCCUGAGCCUGGAGCCCCGGAGCCGGGCACCGUCCGUUGAGAUCACGCGGGAGCUGGUUGGAAACGCAGACUCUCAGGCCCUGCCCCAGACCCACAGACUCGGAAUCCGCACUGUAAUGAGAGCCUGGCUGAUCCGUGUGCCCGUUACAGACGCGGAGUGAGCGUGUCUGGGCAACUGCACGGAGGUGGAUGAGGAGCUGUGGGUGAUGCCAGCCCCCCGGGGCAGCACCUGCGCCUGGCUCUGGAACUCUCGGGGCGUUAGCUCCUGCAGUCAGCCAGGCCUGCGCACGGUCACAGCCGUGCUGGCGAGUGAGUGCUGAGCUGGAAGCAGGCCCCAAGUCCCCUGUGAGCCUAAAUCUCCCCGGGGGAAGUCAGGAAUCUGAGCCAAUACAUGAGGAGAAAACUGGAAUUGGCCAGGCCGACCUGGGGGCAGCGGAUGGGGAUUCCAGCAAAGGGGGCGGCCUGUACCAAUUCCUGAGCUGGUGUUUUCAGAGGACAGGGUUUUGCAGACUUUACCUGAACACUGUCAGGGCCCAGGGCAAUUGGAAGCCCCCGUGCUCUGUAUCUGCACAUUCAAAAGUUAUAAAUCAAAAACUCACAAACUAUUAAAUACACUCUGUUCUAGCCUCUUACCUUGAUGAAUAAGCUUCACCUAGAAGUGCAGGUUCAAAUUUAGAAUUUUUGGCCUCCUUGGAGUCCGGUUCCAAAACACGAUGGUGUGGGGGCGCCUGGGUGGCUCAGUCGGUUGAGCGGCCGACUUCAGCUCAGGUCAUGAUCUCACGAUUUGUGAGUUCAAGCCCGGUGCCAGGCUCACUGCUUUCAGUGUGGAGCCUGCUUCAGAUCUUCUGUCCCUUUCUCUCUGCCCCUCCCCCACUUAUUCUCUCACGCUCUCUAUCUCAAAAAUAAAUAAAAAGCGUUUUAAAAAUUAAAAAAAAAAAAAAGACAAAACACAAUGGUGUGGGCUGAGCCAGGUCCUGACCAUACCGCACCCCACCAGGAGGACUCACACAUGCGGGCACGCACACACACACACGCAGUGGGCCCAACCCUCCCAUACCACACCCCUCCCCCUACACACAGCUCUCCUUGGCAUGUGCACAGGGGAUGGGUGGGCCCCAGGAUGAGAGACCCAUGGAGUCCCUGGAGAGGGGAGGAUGGUCUGAGAAGACUCAUUCAUCAUAACCCUGUGAGGAGGGCCCCAGCUGAAGAGGCCUUGUGACAAUUAAAGUAUGACAUACCCUCAAUGAGAAGAUUCACUGAUUUCAGGGAUGUUAAAAUGUGGAAAAAAUAUGCAUCUUAGAUUCUGCCCCCUGCCCAUGAGAAUUUGUUUAAACUGAACAUCAAUUUGCACAGUAUUAACAAUAUUAACAAUUUUCAAUCGUAACAAUAUUUAGUCUUCCACUCCAUGGACAUGGGAUGUCUUUUCAUUUGUAACAAUUUUCAAUCGUGACAAUAUUUAGUCUUCCAAUCCAUGGACAUGGGAUGCCUUUUCACUUAUAACAAUUUUCAAUCAUUACAAUAUUUAGUCUUCCAAUCCAUGGACAUGGGAUGUCUUUUCAUUUAUUUAGGUCUUGAGUGUCAUUAAAUGAUGUUUUAUAGUUUUCCAUGUAAAAGUCUUGCACUUCUUCA